rnacentral:rRNA from 1 species
UACGAAGGUGGCAAGCGUUGUUCGGAUUUACUGGGCGUAAAGGGAGCGUAGGUGGUUAGGUAAGCCCUCCGGGAAAUCUUCAGGCUUAACCUGAAAAGGUCGGGGGGGACUGCCUGGCUAGAGGACGGGAGAGGAGCGCGGAAUUCCCGGUGUAGCGGUGAAAUGCGUAGAGAUCGGGAGGAAGGCCGGUGGUGUAGACGGCUCUCUGGACCGUAACUGACACUGAGACACGAAAGCGUGGGUAGCAAACAGG